rnacentral:rRNA from 1 species
GAUGAACGCUGGCGGCGUGCCUAACACAUGCAAGUCGAGCGAUUCUCUUCGGAGAAGAGCGGCGGACGGGUGAGUAACGCGUGGGUAACCUGCCCUGUAUACACGGAUAACAUACCGAAAGGUAUGCUAAUACGAGAUAAUAUGCUUUUAUCGCAUGGUAGAAGUAUCAAAGCUUUUGCGGUACAGGAUGGACCCGCGUCUGAUUAGCUAGUUGGUAAGGUAACGGCUUACCAAGGCGACGAUCAGUAGCCGACCUGAGAGGGUGAUCGGCCACAUUGGAACUGAGACACGGUCCAAACUCCUACGGGAGGCAGCAGUGGGGAAUAUUGCACAAUGGGCGAAAGCCUGAUGCAGCAACGCCGCGUGAGCGAUGAAGGCCUUCGGGUCGUAAAGUUCUGUCCUCAAGGAAGAUAAUGACGGUACUUGAGGAGGAAGCCCCGGCUAACUACGUG